UACACAUGCAGUCAGGAGAAUUCCCGACUUGUCGGGAUAGUAAACUGGCGAACGGGUGAGUAACACGUAGGUAAUCUACCCUCGGGAUGGGGAUAACCUACCGAAAGGUGGGCUAAUACCGAAUAAUGUUCCGCUUUAAUCGAGCGGAAUGAAAGGUGGGGACCUUCGGGCCUACUGCCUGAGGAUGAGCCUGCGUCCCAUUAGCUAGUUGGUAAGGUAAUGGCUUACCAAGGCGACGAUGGGUAGCUGGUCUGAGAGGAUGAUCAGCCACAUUGGGACUGAGAUACGGCCCAAACUCCUACGGGAGGCAGCAGUGAGGAAUUUUGCGCAAUGGCCGCAAGGCUGACGCAGCAACGCCGCGUGACCGAUUAAGCUCUGAGGAGUGUAAAGGUCUGUCGCAGAGGAAGAAACUGCCUGAUGAGAAUAUUGUCAGGUACUGACGGUACUCUGUGAGAAAGCUCCGGCUAACUCCGUGCCAGCAGCCGCGGUAAUACGGGGGGAGCAAGCGUUGUCCGGAAUCACUGGGCGUAAAGAGCGUGUAGGUGUCCUAAUAAGUCUCUGGUGAAAGCCUUCUGCUUAACGGGAGAAUUGCCGGAGAUACUAUUGGGAUUGAGUUCACAAGAGGGAAGCGGAAUUCCUGGUGUAGCGGU
rnacentral:rRNA from 1 species